CGCACACUCGGACAAGAGAGGGGAAGAGGUUCUUAUCUAUGACGCACGUGGCCCCUGCUGCUGUGUCGUUUCCCUAUUGGCUAGUGUUAGACCGCACAGGCUAAAUUAAUUCUGACUGGCUAAUUUAAAGAGAAUGACCGGUCAACUGAAGAACACAUCCAAAGGAAUUCACUGGAUUUAACCCAACUAAAGGAUCAGAGACCAUGGAGCCUCCUGUACUCAAGAGAUAGCUGCUGCUGAAGACCUGGCCCCAGGUGAAUAACAUAGGCAAAGGAACAACAAAGCCAGAAUGGGGAAGAGUGAGCAGAGCAUCCAGAAAUGGCGGUUGCCAGCAAAAUAGAACUGCUGAAAAAGGGCAUGGCAACUUGAACAGAAAAAGUAAUUAGUGCAAUUGAGGAGCUUCAAUUACAGCGUUAAACUGGAACUCAAGAACAUGAUUUUUUAAGUUU